AGCAGUGUAGCGCAGUGGUAAGGAGCAGGGCUUGGAACCGAGAGGUUGCUGGUUCGAUUUCCCGCUGAGG